rnacentral:lncRNA from 1 species
UUUCUCAUCCCCCAUUCUAUUUGCUUGCAAACAUCAUUUGUACAAAAAUACAUAUGCACACAAAAAAGGGCUCCCUAGGAGUACCUAGGACACUUUGGGUGCUAACACCUUCCCUCUGUGUAACCAACCCCCUUAUCUGUAAUCUCUGGGCUUUUAUUAGUUUUGAUUUGAAAACUUCUUACUUUUGGGUUUUGUUCGUACUUUUCCCCUU